rnacentral:rRNA from 1 species
UACGAAGGGGGCUAGCGUUGCUCGGAAUCACUGGGCGUAAAGCGCACGUAGGCGGGUUCUUAAGUCAGGGGUGAAAUCCCGGAGCUCAACUCCGGAACUGCCUUUGAUACUGGGGAUCUUGAGUGUAGUCGAGGUAGGCGGAAUUGACGGUGUAGCGGUGAAAUGCUUAGAUAUCAUCAAGAACACCGAUAGUGUAGACAGCUUACUAGGCUACAACUGACGCUGAGGCACGAAAGUGUGGGGAUCAAACAGG